rnacentral:rRNA from 1 species
GAAAUGACUCUCGGCAACGGAUAUCUCGGCUCUCGCAUCGAUGAAGAANGUAGCGAAAUGCGAUACUUGGUGUGAAUUGCAGAAUCCCGUGAACCAUCGAGUCUUUGAACGCAAGUUGCGCCCGAGGCCACUAGGCCGAGGGCACGCCUGCCUGGGUGUCACGC